AACGUUGAAAAGUUAGGGGAUGAGCUGUGGAUAGGGGUGAAAGGCUAAACAAAUCUGGAAAUAGCUGGUUCUCCCCGAAAACUAUUUAGGUAGUGCCUCGAGUCUCACUACAGGGGGUAGAGCACUGUUAUGGCUAGGGGGUCAUCGCGACUUACCAAACCAUGGCAAACUCCGAAUACCUGUAAGUGCAAUCUCGGGAGACAGACAUCGGGUGCUAACGUCCGGUGUCAAGAGGGAAACAACCCAGACCGCCAGCUAAGGUCCCUAAUAUCUGCUAAGUGGAAAACGAAGUGGGAAGGCUAAAACAGUCAGGAGGUUGGCUUAGAAGCAGCCACCCUUUAAAGAAAGCGUAAUAGCUCACUGAUCGAGUCGUCCUGCGCGGAAGAUGUAACGGGGCUAAGCAGAUAACCGAAGCUGCGGAUGUACACGUAAGUGUAUGUGGUAGGGGAGCGUUCUGUAAGCCUGCGAAGGUGUGUUGUAAAGCAUGCUGGAGGUAUCAGAAGUGCGAAUGCUGACAUGAGUAGCGAUAAACAGAGUGAAAGGCUCUGUCGCCGUAAGCCCAAGGUUUCCUACGCAACGUUCAUCGGCGUAGGGUUAGUCGGCCCCUAAGGCGAGGCAGAAAUGCGUAGUCGAUGGGAAGCAGGUUAAUAUUCCUGCACCGACGUGUAAUGCGAUGGGGGGACGGAUCGUGGAAAGUGGUCCAGGUGUUGGAUAUCCUGGUCCCUGCAUCAUAGAGGACAGUUAGGCAAAUCCGGCUGUCAUAUACUCAAGGGUGUGGGGGGAAGUAGCUACGGCUACGAACCCAUUGGAAGUGGUCCCAAGAAAAGCCUCUAAGCUUCAGUUACACGUUGACCGUACCGCAAACCGACACAGGUGGGCGGGAUGAGUAUUCUAAGGCGCUUGAGAGAACUCAGGAGAAGGAACUCGGCAAAUUGGUACCGUAACUUCGGGAGAAGGUACGCCCUUGUAGUUUGACCAUGAACAAUGGAAGGACGAAGGGGUUGCAAUAAAAUGGUGGCUGCGACUGUUUAAUAAAAACACAGCUCUCUGCAAACACGAAAGUGGACGUAUAGGGAGUGACGCCUGCCCGGUGCUGGAAGAUUAAAUGAUGGGGUGCAAGCUCUUGACUGAAGUCCCAGUAAACGGCGGCCGUAACUAUAACGGUCCUAAGGUAGCGAAAUUCCUUGUCGGGUAAGUUCCGACCUGCACGAAUGGCGUAACGAUGGCCACACUGUCUCCUCCUGAGACUCAGCGAAGUUGAAGUGUUUGUGAUGAUGCAAUCUCCCCGCGGCUAGACGGAAAGACCCCAUGAACCUUUACUGUAGCUUUGCAUUGGACUUUGAACCGGUUUGUGUAGGAUAGGUGGGAGGCUUUGAAGUGGGAACGCCAGUUCUCAUGGAGCCAUCCUUGAAAUACCACCCUGAUCUGUUUGAGGUUCUAACCUUGACCCAUUAUCUGGGUCGGGGACCGUGCAUGGUGGGCAGUUUGACUGGGGCGGUCUCCUCCUAAAGAGUAACGGAGGAGCUCGAAGGUACGCUAAGUACGGUCGGACAUCGUACUGAUAGUGCAAUGGCAUAAGCGUGCUUGACUGCGAGACUGACAAGUCGAGCAGGUGCGAAAGCAGGACAUAGUGAUCCGGUGGUUCUGUAUGGAAGGGCCAUCGCUCAACGG
rnacentral:rRNA from 1 species